AGGUUUCUGGGGGUCCUUAUGGGUCCUUAUGGGUCCCUAUGGGGUCUCUAUGGGUCCCUAUGGGUCUCUAUGGGGUCUCUAUGGGUCCCUAUGGGUUCCUCUUUGAGUCCCUAUAGGGUCCUUAUGGGUCCCUAUGUGCCUCUAUGGGGUCCCUAUGGGGUCUCUAUGUAUCCCUAUAGGUCCCUCUUUGAGUCCCUAUAGUUUCUGGGGGUCUCUGGGGUUCCCACGUUUCCACGUCCCACGUUUCCAUGUUCCCAUGACCCCAUAAUCCCAAAAUCCCAUGUUCCCACAUUUCCACAUUCCCACAUUUCCAUGUUCCCAUGUUCCCACGUUUCCAUGUUCCCACGUCCCCAUGUUCCCAUGUUCUGAUGUUUCCAUGUUCCCACAUUUCCACCUUCCCACAUUUCCAUGUUUCCAUGACCCCAUAUUUCCAUGUUCCCAUGUUCCCAUGUUUCCAUGACCCCAUGUUCCCACAUUUCCAUGUUCCCACAUUUCCAUGUUCCCAUGUUUCCAUGACCCCAUGUUCCCAUACUCCCAUGUUCCCAUGUUUCCAUAUUCCCACAUUUCCACGUUUCCAUGUUCCUAUGUUUCCAGAUCCCACGUUCCCAUGUUUCCAUGUUCCCACGUUUCCAUAUUCCCACGUCCCCAUGUUUCCAUGACCCCAUGUUCCCAUGUUCCCACGUUUCCAUGUUCCCACGUUCCCAUGUUCCCAUGUUCUGAUGUUCCCAUGUUCCCAUGUUUCCAUGACCCCAUGUUCUGAUGUUCCCAUGUUUCCAUGUUCCCAUGUUCCCACGUUCCCAUGUUCCCACAUUUCCAUGUUCCCAUGUUCCCACAUUUCCAUGACCCCAUGUUCCCAUGUUCCCACAUUUCCAUGUUUCCACGUUCCCAUGUUUCCAGACCCCAUGUUCCCACAUUCCCACGUUCCCAUGUUCCCUUUCCAUGUUCCCACGUUCCCACGUUUCCACGUUCCCAUGUUCCCUUUCCAUGUUCCCAUGUUCCCACAUUUCCACGUUCCCACAUUUCCAUGUUCCCAUGAUCCCAUAUUUCCACGUUCCCAUGUUCCCACAUUCCCACGUUCCCACAUUCCCAUGUUCCCAUGUUCCCAUGAUCCCAUAUUUCCACGUUCCCAUGUUCCCAUGUUCCCACGUUCCCACAUUCCCAUGUUUCCAUGUUCCCAUGAUCCCAUGUUCCCACGUUCCCACAUUUCCACGUUCCCACGUUCCCACAUUCCCAUGUUUCCAUGUUCCCAUGAUCCCAUAUUUCCACGUUCCCAUGUUCCCACAUUCCCAUGUUCCCACAUUUCCACGUUUCCACGUUCCCAUGUUUCCAGACCCCAUGUUCCCACAUUUCCAUGUUUUCAUGAUCCCAUAUUUCCANNNNNUCCCACGUUCCCACAUUUCCAUGUUCCCAUGUUCCCAUGUUCCCACAUUUCCAUGUUUCCACGUUCCCACAUUUCCAUGUUCCCACGUUCCCACAUUUCCAUGUUCCCAUGUUCCCAUGUUCCCACAUUUCCAUGUUUCCACGUUCCCAUGUUUCCAGACCCCAUGUUCCCAUGUUCCCACGUUCCCAUGUUCCCAUGUUCCCACAUUUCCAUGUUCCCUUUCUAUGUUCCCAUGUUCCCAUGUUCCCACGUUCCCAUGUUCCCAUGUUCCCAUGUUCUCAUGUUCCCUUUCUAUGUUCCCAUGUUCCCAUGUUCCCACAUUUCCACAUUUCCACGUUCCCAUGUUUCCAGACCCCAUGUUCCCACAUUUCCAUGUUUUCAUGAUCCCAUAUUUCCACGUUCCCAUGUUCCCUUUCCAUGUUCCCAUGUUCCCAUGUUUCGUUGUUUCCACGUUCCCACGUUCCCAUGUUCCCACAUUUCCACGUUCCCAUGUUUCCAGACCCCAUGUUCCCACAUUUCCAUGUUCCCAUGAUCCCAUAUUUCCACGUUCCCAUGUUCCCAUGUUCCCAUGUUCCCACAUUUCCAUGUUCCCUUUCUAUGUUCCCAUGUUCCCAUGNNNUUCCCUUUCCAUGUUCCCACGUUCCCAUGUUCCCACAUUUCCACAUUUCCACCUUCCCAUGUUUCCAGACUCCAUGUUCCCAUGUUCCCACAUUUCCAUGUUCCCUUUCCAUGUUCCCACGUUCCCAUGUUCCCACAUUUCCACAUUUCCACCUUCCCAUGUUUCCAGACCCCACCUUCCCACCUUCCCACAUCUCCACAUUUCCACAUCCCACCUCCCCACCCCCCCAAACCCCCCCUCACCUCGGGCUGACCACAUCCUGCGGUGCCUGGAACCACUCCUGCAAUUUACUCUCCAGCCCCACUCCCACCUUAACCAGGUAGGAGCUGGGAUCCACGCAGCAGGCCCAGUAGCUCCUGCCCUGCGUCACGGCCACGUCUCCGAUCACCACCUCGACGGAGAGGUGGCAGCUGCUCAGCAGCCUUUCGGCAGCGAAAAGCAUCGGGACCCCCGGCACGCUGCGCACCGCGCGCUGGUCCUUACUGAUGGCCAGCCGGUCCCGAUUGAAACCCCAGCGGUUGUCCAGGAAGAAAUUGAGGACUGCAAUGAGGAGGGGGGGGGAAGGGGGUGGUGAGAGAUGUGAUGUGGGAAUGGGGGAUGGGGGGAGCUGAGCCCCUUUGAUGUGACCUGGUACCCAUCUGUAGGGUGGCAUCCUGCAUAUAGAAGUAGGGGAGGGGUCCUAAGGAGCACAGGGAUGCUCAGAGGAUGGAGGAGGAGGAGGAGGAAGGAGGAGGACAGUGAUGUGGGAAUGGGGGUAGGGGGAGCUGAGCCCCCUUUUGCCCAUUUGUAGGGUGGCAUCCUGCAUAUGGAGGUAGGGGAGGGGUCCUAAGGGGUGCAGGGAUGCUCAGAGGAUGGAGGAGGAGGAGGAGGAGGAGGAGGAGGAGGAGGAGGAAGGAGGAGCUGUGCUUUGGGUCGUGCUUUUGGGCAUCUGCUGGUCCUUACUGAUGGCCAGCCCCCUAAACCCUCCCAAUCCCCCCCAGCCCCCCCCCAAAGCCCUCCCUAAACCCCCCCAAAGUC
ensembl:lncRNA